GAUGAAGAACGUAGCGAAAUGCGAUACUUGGUGUGAAUUGCAGAAUCCCGUGAACCAUCGAGUCUUUGAACGCAAGUUGCGCCCGAAGCCAUUAGGCCGAGGGCACGCCUGCCUGGGCGUCACACGUCGUUGCCCCCCCAUCUACUCCUUCGGGAUUGCGGGGGGCGGAUGAUGGCCUCCCGUGCGCCUCGUCGCGCGGUUGGCCUAAAUGCCAAGUCCUCGGCGACGCACGCCACGACAAUCGGUGGUUGCGAAACCUCGGUUGCCCGUCGUGUGCGGUCGUCGCGCAUCGAGGGCUCGAAAAAAUUGCCGGGCUUCGGCUCGACUUUCAACGCGACCCCAGGUCAGGCGGGGUUACCCGCUGAAUUUAAGCAUAUCAAUAAGCGGAGG
rnacentral:misc_RNA from 1 species